rnacentral:rRNA from 1 species
GACAGAGGGUGCAAACGUUGUUCGGAAUUACUGGGCGUAAAGCGAGUGUAGGCGGUCUGAAAAGUCGGGUGUGAAAGCCCCGGGCUCAACCCGGGAAGUGCACUCGAAACUGCCAGGCUAGAGUAUCGGAGAGGUUGGUGGAAUUCUCGGUGUAGAGGUGAAAUUCGUAGAUAUCGAGAGGAACACCGGUGGCGAAGGCGGCCAACUGGACGGAAUACUGACGCUGAGACUCGAAAGCGUGGGGAGCAAACAGG